UGAAGCGGGAAAUGCUCAAAUUUAAAAUCUGGCAGUCUCUCUUUUCUUCUUUGGCUGUCCGAGUUGUAAUCUAGAGAAGUGCUUACCCGUGCUGCACCAUGUANAAGUCUCCUGGAAUGGAGCGUCGUAGAGGGUGAGAAUCCCGUCUUUGACAUGGACUUGCCAGUGCAUNGUGGUGCGCUCUCAAAGAGUCGAGUUGUUUGGGAAUGCAGCUCUAAAUGGGUGGUAAACUCCAUCUAAAGCUAAAUAUUGGCGAGAGACCGAUAGCGAACAAGUACCGUGAGGGAAAGAUGAAAAGCACUUUGGAAAGAGAGUUAAACAGUAUGUGAAAUUGUUGAAAGGGAAACACUUGAAGUCAGUCGUGUCUGCUUAGGGAUCAACUCAGCUGAUUUU
rnacentral:rRNA from 1 species